rnacentral:ncRNA from 2 species
CUGCACACAAAUGCAACAAGUUCACGCCAUAUAGCUCAAGGGAAGUUGGUGUAAAUCCAACACUGCCCCCGCAACGGUAAAAUGAAAUACUUAUCUUUAUAAAUUUUUAAUUUAGACCACUGCAAUUUUGUGGGAAGGUCGAUAAGUUUGUUAUGUUGACAUAACUUUAUUUAAGUCCGGAUACCUGCUUGUUGUUCCAGCCACUC